UUCAUCCGGACAAAACUCUUCAAUCACUUCAAUUCACUUCACUUCCAUCCAUUUUCUUUCUUUCUUUAUAAUUAUAUAUCAAAAUUUAGAGCCCAAUUUCUCGGACGAACAUUUCAUCAAACAUUGUUUGAGCAUUAGCCAGCUCUCUACUUUUUGCUCAAUCCAAAAUAUAAGUUUGAAGCCUUACUCUUCUGGUUUAAUUUAGUUUUGAAUUUGGAUUUUUAUGGUAGUAAGCAAUUGAUGAGGACAUGGCAUGCGUUGACUCAAACAUGGCUAAAAG
rnacentral:lncRNA from 1 species